UACGUAGGGGGCGAGCGUUGUCCGGAGUUACUGGGCGUAAAGCGCACGCAGGCGGUCUGCUAAGUUUGGAGUGACAGUUGGUGGCUUAACUGCCAAAGUGCUUCGAAACUGACAGACUUGAGGGCUUCAGAGGGACACGGAAUUCCGGGUGGAGUGGUGAAAUGCGUAGAGAUCCGGAGGAACACCAAAGGCGAAGGCAGUGUCCUGGGGAGUACCUGACGCUCAGGUGCGAAAGCCAGGGGAGCGAACGGG
rnacentral:rRNA from 1 species